GCAGAAAAACACAGACGCUAUCAGGAAGAUGACGAUGAUGGAUUCUUUGGACCUGCUCUUCCUCCUGGCUUUAAAAAACCAGAUGAAUCCCCAGAAAGGCCUGUUCUAGGUCCUGCCUUACCACCUGGCUUAAGAAACCAUCAGAAGCUGCUGAAGAAAACAUAUAUUAUGCAACCCAGACUACGGAUAGCAGCGAAGAGGAGGAAGACUUGAUUGGCCCAAUGCCUGCCAAAGGACCAGUAGAAUCCAGCACAACUAGAGAGAUUGAAUGUCGAGCCCAGAGAAUGAAAGAUAAACUUCUCGGUAAAGAUGUGAGUUUAAUUCCUGAUUGUU